rnacentral:rRNA from 1 species
UCAAUAAGCGGAGGAAAAGAAACCAACAGGGAUUGCUCUAGUAACGGCGAGUGAAGCAGCAACAGCUCAAAUUUGAAAUCUGGCUCUUUUAGAGUCCGAGUUGUAAUUUGCAGAGGGCGCUUUGGCGUUGGCAGCGGUCCAAGUUCCUUGGAACAGGACGUCACAGAGGGUGAGAAUCCCGUACGUGGUCGCUGGCCUUCGCCGUGUAAAGCCUCUUCGACGAGUCGAGUUGUUUGGGAAUGCAGCUCUAAAUGGGAGGUAAAUUUCUUCUAAAGCUAAAUACUGGCCAGAGACCGAUAGCGCACAAGUAGAGUGAUCGAAAGAUGAAAAGCACUUUGGAAAGAGAGUCAAAUAGCACGUGAAAUUGUUAAAAGGGAAGCGCUUGCAGCCAGACUUGCCCGUAGUUGCUCAUCCAGGCUUUUGCCUGGUGCACUCUUCUAUGGGCAGGCCAGCAUCAGUUUGGGCGGUUGGAUAAAGGUCUCUGUCAUGUACCUCCUUUCGGGGAGGCCUUAUAGGGGAGACGACAUGCAACCAGCCUGGACUGAGGUCCGCGCAUUCGCUAGGAUGCUGGCGUAAUGGCUGUAAGCGGCCCGUCUUGAAACACGGACCAAGGAGUCUAACAUCUAUGCGAGUGUUUGGGUGUCAAGCCCGAACGCGCAAUGAAAGUGAACGGAGGUGGGAACCCUUAAGGGUGCACCAUCGACCGAUCCUGAUGUCUUCGGAAGGAUUUGAGUAAGAGCAUAGCUGUUGGGACCCGAAAGAUGGUGAACUAUGCUUGAAUAGGGUGAAGCCAGAGGAAACUCUGGUGGAGGCUCGCAGCGGUUCUGACGUGCAAAUCGAUCGUCAAAUUUGGGCAUAGGGGCGAAAGACUAAUCGAACUAUCUA